GCCAGGCGCGGCAGCUCAUGCCUGUAAUCCCAGUGCUUGGGAGGCUGAGGCAGGAGUAUCGUGAGUUCAAAGCCAGCCUCUG
rnacentral:sRNA from 1 species